AUUGAACGCUGGCGGCGUGCUUAACACAUGCAAGUCGAUCGGUAACAGGUGUAGCAAUACAUGCUGACGAGAGGCGGACGGGUGAGUAAUGCUUGGGAAUCUGCCUAUUAGUGGGGGACAACCCGGGGAAACUCGGGCUAAUACCGCAUACGCUCUACGGAGGAAAGCCGGGGACCGCAAGGCCUGGCGCUAAUAGAUGAGCCCAAGUCGGAUUAGCUAGUUGGUAGGGAACGGCCUACCAAGGCGACAAUCCGUAGCUGGUCUGAGAGGACGACCAGCCGCACCGGAACUGAGACACGGUCCGGACUCCUACGGGAGGCAGCAGUGGGGAAUAUUGGACAAUGGGGGCAACCCUGAUCCAGCGACGCCGCGUGGGUGAAGAAGGCCUGCGGGUUGUAAAGCCCUUUCGGUGGGGAAGAAAAGUCUCGACCUAAUACGUCGGGACCUUGACGUAACCCACUAAAGAAGCACCGGCUAACUCUGUG
rnacentral:rRNA from 1 species